rnacentral:rRNA from 1 species
AUUGAACGCUGGCGGCAGGCCUAACACAUGCAAGUCGAGCGGAUGAGUGGAGCUUGCUCCAUGAUUCAGCGGCGGACGGGUGAGUAAUGCCUAGGAAUCUGCCUGGUAGUGGGGGACAACGUUUCGAAAGGAACGCUAAUACCGCAUACGUCCUACGGGAGAAAGCAAGGGACCUUCGGGCCUUGCGCUAUCAGAUGAGCCUAGGUCGGAUUAGCUAGUUGGUGAGGUAAAGGCUCACCAAGGCGACGAUCCGUAACUGGUCUGAGAGGAUGAUCAGUCAAACUGGAAAUGAGACACGGUCCAGACUCCUAGGGGAGGCAGCAGUGGGGAAUAUUGGACAAUGGGCGAAAGCCUGAUCCAGCCAUGCCGCGUGUGUGAAGAAGGUCUUCGGAUUGUAAAGCACUUUAAGUUGGGAGGAAGGGCAGUAAGUUAAUACCUUGCUGUUUUGACGUUACCGACAGAAUAAGCACCGGCUAACUUCGUGCCAGCCGCCGCAGUAAAAC